rnacentral:rRNA from 1 species
GAUGAACGCUGGCGGCGUGCCUAAUACAUGCAAGUCGAGCGAACGGACGAGAAGCUUGCUUCUCUGAUGUUAGCGGCGGACGGGUGAGUAACACGUGGAUAACCUACCUAUAAGACUGGGAUAACUUCGGGAAACCGGAGCUAAUACCGGAUAAUAUUUUGAACCGCAUGGUUCAAAAGUGAAAGACGGUCUUGCUGUCACUUAUAGAUGGAUCCGCGCUGCAUUAGCUAGUUGGUAAGGUAACGGCUUACCAAGGCAACGAUGCAUAGCCGACCUGAGAGGGUGAUCGGCCACACUGGAACUGAGACACGGUCCAGACUCCUACGGGAGGCAGCAGUAGGGAAUCUUCCGCAAUGGGCGAAAGCCUGACGGAGCAACGCCGCGUGAGUGAUGAAGGUCUUCGGAUCGUAAAACUCUGUUAUUAGGGAAGAACAUAUGUGUAAGUAACUGUGCACAUCUUGACGGUACCUAAUCAGAAGGCCACGGCUAACUACGUGCCAGCAGCCGCGGUAAUACGUAGGUGGCAAGCGUUAUCCGGAAUUAUUGGGCGUAAAGCGCGCGUAGGCGGUUUUUUAAGUCUGAUGUGAAAGCCCACGGCUCAACCGUGGAGGGUCAUUGGAAACUGGAAAACUUGAGUGCAGAAGAGGAAAGUGGAAUUCCAUGUGUAGCGGUGAAAUGCGCAGAGAUAUGGAGGAACACCAGUGGCGAAGGCGACUUUCUGGUCUGUAACUGACGCUGAUGUGCGAAAGCGUGGGGAUCAAACAGG